rnacentral:rRNA from 1 species
AAAUUGAAGAGUUUGAUCAUGGCUCAGAUUGAACGCUGGCGGCAGGCCUAACACAUGCAAGUCGAACGGUAACAGGAAGCAGCUUGCUGCUUCGCUGACGAGUGGCGGACGGGUGAGUAAUGUCUGGGAAGCUGCCUGAUGGAGGGGGAUAACUACUGGAAACGGUGGCUAAUACCGCAUAACGUCGCAAGACCAAAGAGGGGGACCUUCGGGCCUCUUGCCAUCAGAUGUGCCCAGAUGGGAUUAGCUAGUUGGUGAGGUAACGGCUCACCAAGGCGACGAUCCCUAGCUGGUCUGAGAGGAUGACCAGCCACACUGGAACUGAGACACGGUCCAGACUCCUACGGGAGGCAGCAGUGGGGAAUAUUGCACAAUGGGCGCAAGCCUGAUGCAGCCAUGCCGCGUGUAUGAAGAAGGCCUUAGGGUUGUAAAGUACUUUCAGCGGGGAGGAAGGUGUUGUGGUUAAUAACCGCAGCAAUUGACGUUACCCGCAGAAGAAGCACCGGCUA